rnacentral:lncRNA from 1 species
AUUUUGAUGCCUUUACCAGCAUUAAACAAAAGGACUCCACAUUAACUUGGACAGUAAAAUGGCUCCAUUCUGUAGCUGAUGAGCUUACUAUUUAUGGAUGUCUAAAUAUAUUUUUGUUUCCUUGUAGGAAGAGGAGUCUGUCUAAAUAUCUUAUUUUGUAACCUACAGAAAUUCACAGAAGGAUGUCUUCUAGUAAUAUCUCCUUUGAAUUAUUUCCUUAACUAUGAAGAUGCAAGUAAACAAGCAAUUUUUUUACAGUGGACAGGUCAUAACUUUUAAAUGGCCAACCUGUCUGUCCUUUCAAGAAAAAGCCAGGACUGCUGUGCAUACAUGGAGGACUUUUUUCCUCUCUCCCCUUGCUUUUGCUGCCAACUGCUGCAUCUCAUAUCUGGGAAAGAACAGGUGCAGAGCCAUCUUGGGAUUGCAGUGCAUUGCCAGCAGCUUGCAGGGGUCCUGCGAGGAAUUACAUGUUGCUGCUGAUGGAGGUUUCUUCCUCCUGUUUGCUGGGACAAUCAUGCUGGUGUUUAUGGCCCUCUCAAAAGUAUUCUUUGCCACAGCAAUAUGGGAAGAAAGAUCAUUCAAGCUCUUCUCUGUCCCAAGUGAGGAGAUGAACAACAAAUGGAUUCUAAAGGCAUGAAGUGUUCAGCACUGCUGUGAGUACUGAUCCAGCUGAUAGCUUCUGCUUCUGUGUACAUUAAGAACUGAAAUAUGAU